WGCAGUCGAACGGGAUCUGAGAUGUUCAAGUAGCAAUAUGAGAAUAUUUCAGUGAGAKUGGSGAAAGGGUGAGGAACACGUGAGUUACCUGCCCCUAAGUUUGGAAUAACCUUCCGAAAGGAGGGCUAAUGCCGAAUGUGGAUUACCCGUAAGGGGGACAUCUAAAGGUUUACCGCUUAGGGAUGGGCUCGCGUCCUAUCAGCUUGUUGGUGAGGUAAUGGCUUACCAAGGCAAUGACGGGUAGCUGGUCUGAGAGGAUGGUCMGCCACACUGGGACUGAGACACUGCCCAGACUCCUACGGGAGGCUGCAGUCGAGAAUCYUCCGCAAUGGGCSCAAGCCUGACGGAKCAAUGCCGCGUGAAGGAUGAAGGUCUUCGGAUUGUAAACUUCURUCACUGGGGACGAAUAAAUGACGGUAUCCGGAGAGGAAGUCACGGCUAACUACGUGCCARCAGCCGCGGUAAUACGUAGGUGACUAKCGUUGUUCGGAUUUAUUGGGCGUAAAGGGUCCGCAGGGGGCCGGCUARGUCUGAUGUKAMAUACCAMGGCUCAACCUUGKAACUGCAUUGKAAACUGGUUGGCUAKAGUAUCGGAGAGGASAAUGSAAUUCCUGGUGUAKCSGURGRAUG
rnacentral:rRNA from 1 species